rnacentral:lncRNA from 12 species
UGGUGACCUUACUGCAUAGCUUGAAGGUGGAGAGCUCCUCCCCACAAUUUCUCUCUGGCCCAAACACCUAUGACUGAGCCACAACACUCGCUUCUGAGAGCUGAACCCAUUUUGAUCUCACUGAUGUCAUCAAAGGGAAGGAAGUGGAAACUCCCAGAACAUUACCCUCAAGUGAAA